rnacentral:rRNA from 1 species
UAGGGAAUCUUCCGCAAUGGACGCAAGUCUGACGGAGCAACGCCGCGUGAGUGAAGAAGGAUUUCGGUUCGUAAAACUCUGUUGUUAGAGAAGAACAGCGCAUAGAGUAACUGUUAUGCGUGUGACGGUAUCUAACCAGAAAGCCACGGCUAACUACGUGCCAGCAGCCGCGGUAAUACGUAGGUGGCAAGCGUUGUCCGGAUUUAUUGGGCGUAAAGCGAGCGCAGCGGUCAAUUAAGUCUGAUGUGAAAGCCCCCGGCUCAACCGGGGAGGGUCAUUGGAAACUGGUUGACUUGAGUGCAGAAGAGGAGAGUGGAAUUCCAUGUGUAGCGGUGAAAUGCGUAGAUAUAUGGAGGAACACCAGUGGCGAAGGCGACUCUCUGGUCUGUAACUGACGCUGAGGCUCGAAAGCGUGGGUAGCAAACAGG